CACUUCACUCCUCUUAUUUAUAAAACACAUAUUUCUUAACCAUACGUAUUGACUACAGUUAGUAAUGACGGGAAACUCACCACAACACCGUUUGUGUGAAAUAUCCACUUUUUGUUUUGCGUUUUUCAGACACAAGAGAAUCAAAUCGAUCCAUCAGGGGACAUCACAUAAACUGCCUUGUUGUGUUCACUUUGGUUUUCUGGUACUGUAACAAAUACUGGAUUAUUCUCUUCUAUUUAUUCUGUAGUUCAUUUUGUGAAAAUCCCUAGUUAAUUGUACGUGUGUGUGUGUGUGUGUGUGUGUCACCGUCAGGGCUGGCGUAAUGGCACAAGUGAGAACCUGGUGAGCGAAGGGGGUGCAGCAGCAUCAGACCCCCCGGGGAGCAGCAGAGAUCAGCUGUACCACCCAGAGCCCCUGCCCCAACCGCCGCAUCCCCAUCCCAGCAGGACGUCGGGUCCAGACAGCACGUAAGAGCAUCAGACAUGUUCUCACACAGACAAGAUCACACUGUAAACAAACACACAUAAGCACCCACGUUUGUAUUCACACGUGCACACAGAGACACACAAGUCUGGAUGGGCAGACAUACGCAAGUCUCAAUGAGACCAUUUAGCAGGCCUCCCUCACAUACAAUGGGAUUCCAUUAUACUAGUUACUGUGGAUCACCACUACUUUCUGUCUCAGUUUGAACAUCUAAAGGACGAUAUAGACCUGUGUCUACUUGUCAGUCUUGGCAGAGUGAUUCAAUUGUUGUUUUUUUUUCUUCUUUAAAGGUCCACCUCUGACAUAUACACUGCAUACAGUGUUCUGAAGGUACCAGGUGGAAAGCAGGGUCUUUCACCAAGCCAUCCAAUCAGAAACAAAGAUGAACACACUGGACACACGCAGGAACCUGAAGUCAACUAUGCGUCGCUGCAAUUCAGGGGCCAGGAGAUGGGUAGCUUGUGUCCUAGAGACCAAGCGAGAGAGGAUGACGUCUAUGCUAAGGUUGGCAAGCCAAAGCUGAAGGAAAAGACUAAUAAGUGCAAUGACUACGAGAACAUUAAGGAAGUGUGUGCUUCGAAGCCCACCAUCGAGCCAAACAUGGACACGGAGACGGGGAGCAGUGAGGAUGACGUGGAGAUCAGCUACUCUGAGGUCAUGUUCAGAGCAAAGCCAGGACACCAGACAGUCUGUAGUUCUGACCCUCGCCACCAUAGGGCAGGCCACAGCAGCAGCUCAGAUGAAGAAGACUACAUAACCCAGUAGUCUGAUGUUAAAAUAUAAGAGGAAGUUUCAUUCAUAGUCCAAAAAAAGUAUUAAGGUUUGUUUGUAAAUAGUUGUAUCACACCUACAGUACCAGUCAAAAGUUUGGACACACCUACUCAUUUAAGGGUUUUUCAUUAUUUUUACUAUUUUCUACAUUGUAGAAUAAUAGUGAAAACAUCAAAAUUAUGAAAUAACACACAUGGAAUCAUGUAGUAACCAAAAAAGUGUUAAACAAAUAAAAAUGUAUGUUAUAUUUCAGAUUAUUCAAAGUAGCCACACUUUGCCUUGAUGACAGCUUUGCACACUCUUGGCAUUCUCUCAACCAGUUUCAUGAGAUAGUCACCUGGAAUGCAUUUAAAUUAACAGGUGUGCCUUGUUAAAAGUUAAUUUGUGGAAUUUCUUUCCUUUUUAAUGCGUUUGAGCCAAUCAGUUGUGUUGUGACAAGGUAGGGGUGGUAUACAGAAGAUAGCCCUAUUUGAUAAAAUACCAAGUCCAUAUUAUGGCAAGAACAGCUCAAAUAAGCAAAAAGAAAUGGCAGUCCAUCAUUAAUUUAAGACAUGAAGGUAAUUUAAUCUGGAACAUUUCAAGAACUUUGAAAGUUUCCUCAAGUGCAGUCGCAAAAAACAUCAUGCGCUAUGAUGAAACUGGCUCUCAUGAGGACACGCUACAGGAAAGGAAGACCCAGAGUUACCUCUGCUGCAGAGGAUACGUUCAUUAGAGUUAACUGCACCUCACAGCCCAAAUAAAUGCUUCACAGAGUUCAAGUAACAGACACAUCUCAUCAUCAACUGUUCAUAGGAGACUGCAUGAAUCAGGCCUUCAUGGUCGAAUUGCUGCAAAGAAACCACUACUAAAGGACACCAAUAAGAAGAAGAGACUUGCUUGGGCAAGAAACAUAAGCAAUGCACAUUAGACCGGUGGAAAUCUAUCCUUUGGUCUGAUGAGUCCAAAUUUGUGAUUUUUGGUUCCAACUGCUGUCUUUGUGAGACGCAGAGUAGGUGAACCGAUUAUCUCCGUAUGUGUGGUUCCAAUCCGUGAAGCAUGGGGGAGGAGGUGUUAUGGUGUAGGGGUGCUUUGCUGGUGACACUGUCCCUGAUUUAUUUAGAAUUCAAGGCACGCUUAACCAGCAUGGCUACCACAGCAUUCUGCAGCGAUACACCAUCCCAUCUGGUUUACGCUUAGUGAGACUAUCAUUUGUUUUUCAACAUGACAAUGACCCGAAACACACCUCCAGGCUGUGUAAGAACUAUUUGACCAAGAAGGAAAGUGAUAGAGUGCUGCAUCAGAUGACCUGGCCUCCACAAUUACCUGACCUCAACCCAAUUGAGAUGGUUUGGGAUGAGUUGGACCGCAGAGUGAAGAAAAAGCAGCCAACAAGUGCUCAGCAUAUGUGGGAACUCCUUCAAGACUGUUGGAAAAGCAUUCCUCAUGAAGCUGGUUGAGAGAAUUCCAAGAGUGUACAACGUUGUCAUCAAGGCAAAGGAUGGAUACUUUGAAGAAUAUAAUAUUUUCAUUUGUUCAACACUUUUUUGGUUACUACAUGAUUCCAUAUGUGUUAUUUCAUCGCUUUGUUGUCUUCACUAUUGUUCAACAAUUUAGAAAAUAGUAAAAAUAUAGAAAAACCUUGAAUGAGUGUGUCCAAACUUUUGACUAGUGCUUUAUAUCUGGAUUGUUAGCAAUAAAAACACAUUCAAGAACCGGUAGUUGCCUUAACUGUACUUUGAAAUUACAAGUCAGUCAAGACCACAAUGGCAGAAAACAGAGUUUAUUGACGUCAUUCAAAGUGGGUUUGAACAUCGUGUGGUACAUCAAUGCAAUGUGUGCUUACUAGGCUGUCAAACCAAAAAUGCUUCACUGUUUAGAAAUUUCCCAUAUUACAGGAUGUGCUAUUGUGUAUAUGCUAUGCAACUGACACCAUGUCUUCAUAUUUGUUUAACAUUGCAACGUGCAUUAUUACUGACUUCUGACUUUACAUAGUUACUGAAUCAUGCUGAAAUUACUGACUGCUUGUAACCUGUAUUCACCUGUAUUCAGCUUUAAACAUUGUAAAUACAUUUUCAAUAAAAAAAGACAAUAAAAACAAUAAUACAACAUGUUGAAGUGAUUCAUAACCAUCACACACAUUUUGUAAGUUCAUAAAUACACAUUUUCUGUGCAACAAUAAGUUACAAAUUCAUAGAAGAGGAACAAAACUUAGAAAAACAAACAAAUAUUACACUCUUAACUGUUGCAAGAUGAACAUUUAAUUCAUUGAAAAUGUAUGUAAGGAGCGACACUAAUCUAUAAAAACACAGUUAAAAAGUCAGAAUAAAAAAACAUACACAGUGCCUAGUGAAAG
rnacentral:lncRNA from 13 species